AUGGCCUGGACCUCUCUCCUGCUCCCCCUCCUCACUCUCUGCACAGGUUCUAUGGCGCCCUUUGUGCUGACUCAGCUAACCUUGGUGUCUGUGGCCCUGGGACAGACAGCCAGGAUCACCUGUCAGGGAAGCGGCUUAAGAGAGAGUUACGCUAACUGGUACCAGCAGAAGCCAGGCCAGGGCCCUUGUCUGCUCAUCUCUGAGGAGAACAACCGUGCCUCAGGGGUCCCUGACCGAUUCUCAAGCUCUAGCUCAGGUGAAAGGGCCACGCUGACCAUCACUGGGGCCCAGGCUGAGGAUGAGGCUGACUAUUACUGUUAG